ensembl:misc_RNA 7SK 7SK RNA
GGAUGUAAGAGCGAUCUGGCUGUGACUUCUGUCACCCCACUGAUCACCAGGGUUCAUGCUUCUGCUGAUCUGGGUAGCUGGGCCGGUGUCUCUGUCCUCCUUCACCACUUCGCAGGAGUCCCUCAUGAAGCUGUGUGUUUGUUAGGUCAAAGAGGACAACCAUCCCCGAAAGGGGAGGACUGUUCUUCAAUCAAGGGUAUACCAGUAGCUGUGCCCCAGUGCUAGAACCUCCAAACAAGCUCUCACAUAGGGUUAAAAAAAAUUAAAAUAUGUGUCUGAAAACUGAAGGUUUAGGUGUAAAGGUAAAAUGAAUCCAUACUGUGGAUCUCGCUCU